CUGGAGGCCCACAGCCCAGUCCGGGAAGGGGGCCGGUUUUCUUCCCUCAAGGAACCAGCUGGGGGAUUGUUGCCUUACAUAUUUAGAUGGCGUCUUGAUCUCCAAGUGAUUUACGUACACGUACAGUUAAUUAUGUAAAGUGGUUACCGAGGCCCCGCCGGACAGACAUCACCCCUGGAGCCACACAACCUGCUUUAAGCUUCACCCUUAAAUGCAUCCCUGCUAUUCGACUCAACUAUUCCAGGUGGUGGUGAGUUAAAAAGAGGAAGCAGAAAGCAAACGCUCAGCAGGCCAGGCAACACCUGCCUUAAUAUUUCAGGCUAUUUCCAGGCACACAGAUGGAGACAAACAUCAACUGCUGCUGGAGGGUCCUCAACUCAGUGAAAGACACUCUUUGGUCUGCCCAAGACUUGUUGAACUCCUACUGCAAAGAGUUGUCCACAACCAAGUGUUGCAAACCAGCACAUUCCACGAUCCAGGACUAUGUACUGAAGGAUGCACAAAAGCUUAGAGCAGCCACUGCAAAGGCGCAAUGGGGACAUGCCACUAUCCAAGGCCUUUCAGCCAUAGUAAAUCGAGGGGCCGGAAACUGUGUAGAACCCCUCGGGCCAUACGCUUGACAUUGCAUGUAUAUAGUAAGUAUCACGUGGAUUGCAAUUGCUCUGAGACACCUUGGAGUGCGUAUAUUUCAGGUUAUCCAUUUAUGCUGUGAA